rnacentral:lncRNA from 1 species
UCUGAGUAUGUCUGACUGGCAUAAUUGUAAAAUACAGCCUCUACAUGUGAGUUAUGCUUCAGACAAAGGAGGUAACACCAUCGAAGUACAUUGGUACACGAGAAAAGCUAACCUCCACCAUGUAAGAACUGCGAAACGCAUCUAUUAUUUCAGCAUCAGAUAGUACAAAGUUUUAAACUUUAGAUUCAUACAGAUAUGGGAUUCCAACAUUAUCGAAACAGCUGAAGCAGAUCUCUAUAACUCUGCACUAGAAGGAAUGGUGGAUGCACUCAAAAAGAAUAUCACGGUACUAAUGCAACAAAACUACUGUUCUCUACAUGUAUGCUACAAGGUGUUUCUGACUUGCUGACAUGUAUUAAUAAAAUGCAGACAGAAUGGGCAGAUCAAGUUAAGAGAUGGGAGACCUGCACAAAGAAGACAGCAUGUCCAGACAUGUAAGUAUGAUAAUAGUACCUUUGAAUAGAAGUGGUUCUUCUUCAUGCCAGCAAGAAGCAGAUUUAACUUCCAAUUGCUUUCCCCCUGUAAACUUUUUUAGAUACGCAUCCGAAGGAAUUCAAGCAGCCUGUGACUGGGCAUACAAGG